rnacentral:rRNA from 1 species
GACGAACGCUGGCGGCGUGCCUAAUACAUGCAAGUCGAGCGGACUAAUGGGAGCUUGCUCCCAUUAGUUAGCGGCGGACGGGUGAGUAACACGUGGGCAACCUACCUGUAAGACUGGGAUAACUUCGGGAAACCGGAGCUAAUACCGGAUGACAUAAAGGAACUCCUGUUCCUUUAUUGAAAGAUGGCUUCGGCUAUCACUUACAGAUGGGCCCGCGGCGCAUUAGCUAGUUGGUGAGGUAACGGCUCACCAAGGCGACGAUGCGUAGCCGACCUGAGAGGGUGAUCGGCCACACUGGGACUGAGACACGGCCCAGACUCCUACGGGAGGCAGCAGUAGGGAAUCUUCCGCAAUGGACGAAAGUCUGACGGAGCAACGCCGCGUGAGCGAUGAAGGCCUUCGGGUCGUAAAGCUCUGUUGUUAGGGAAGAAUAAGUGCUAGUUGAAUAAGUUGGCACCUUGACGGUACCUAACCAGAAAGCCACGGCUAACUACGUGCCAGCCGCCGCGGUAACAC